rnacentral:rRNA from 1 species
UACGUAGGUGGCGAGCGUUGUCCGGAUUUACUGGGCGUAAAGGGAGCGUAGGCGGACUUUUAAGUGAGAUGUGAAAUACCCGGGCUCAACUUGGGUGCUGCAUUUCAAACUGGAAGUCUAGAGUGCAGGAGAGGAGAAUGGAAUUCCCAGUGUAGCGGUGAAAUGCGUAGAUAUUGGGAAGAACACCGGUGGCGAAGGCGACUUGCUGGGCAGCAACUGACGCUGAGGCGCGAAAGCCAGGGGAGCAAACGGGAUUAGAUACCCCCGUAGU